AGUGUAGGCGGGAUCGUAAGUUAGGAGUUUAAUACAUGGGCUUAACCCAUGAGCUGCUUUUAAUACUGCGGUUCUUGAGUAUGGGAGAGGGCGAUGGAAUUCCAGGUGUAGCGGUGGAAUGCGUAGAUAUCUGGAAGAACACCAGUAGCGAAGGCGGUCGCCUGGCCCAAUACUGACGCUGAUGCUCGAAAGCUAGGGGAGCAAACAGGAUUAGAUACCCUGGUAGUCCUAGCCGUAAACGAUGGACACUAGUUGCUGGAGGAGUCAAUCCUUUCGGUGACGAAGCUAACGCAUUAAAUGUCCCGCCCGGGGAGUACGUUCGCAAGGAUGAA
rnacentral:rRNA from 1 species